rnacentral:antisense_RNA from 1 species
AUUCAGGCCUCCGCCAGCUUCAAGGUCCCGGGAAAAGUCUUUCACCUCCCUCUUUCUGAUCUCUUUUUCAUGCUCCUCCUUGGUCCAAAGAAAAACCGGAUGGCAAAAGAGCCCAGAACCUAUUGGAACUGACAAAAUCAAGUCACGGUGCCUACAAAGAUGAGGGGCAGAUUCUGGCUGCCUUUUAAUUUCGUCCUUCACCUGAUAUCUGUGCCAGAGAAUGAUAAAAACCAUAACAAAGGAAAUAAUGGAAGAGGAGACUUAUGUUACUGGGAACAUUUAACAUAAUUAUUUUCCUGAUUCAGUGGCAUGGUUCAGUCUCCCAGGAGUUCUGCUACAGAGAAGAGAAUAACCCCCAUCCAUCAUGGCCAAAGCCCCCAGUCAGGCUCCACUCUGGGUCCAGCCCGACAAAUGCAACCCUUGAAUAGGGUUUGUGCAAGCAAACUGGAUGACGACCGAAGAAACCCUGUCUCUUCUGAGAAAACACCCAAUCCAAGAAUGAAAGCAUCAGGUUCAAUACCUAGGAACUCCUAUAGAGGGUGUUGGGGAAUCUUCUUUAAAAGAACAAAACAAGACAAAACAAAGUUUAAUAGGUAGAGCAGCCAGGUUUGUUGGGUCAUGCCUGUAAUCUCAGCAAUUUGGGAGGCCAAGGCAGGUGGAUCACUUGAGCCUAGGAGUUCAAGACCAGCUUAGGCAACACAGCAAGACCCUGCCUAUACCAAAAAAAAAAAAAAAUGAGCCUAGGAGUAUGAGGCUGCAGUAAGCUGUGGUCGUACCAAUGCACUUUGGGAGGCCAAUGUGGGCGGAUCUUCUGAGGUCAGGAGUUUGAGACCAGCCUGAACAACAUGGAGAAACCCCGUCUCUACUAAAAAUACAAAAUUAGCCAGGCGUGGUGGCACAUGCCUGUAAUCCCAGCUACUCGGGAGGCUGAGGCAGGAGAAUUGCUUGAACCUGGGAGGCGGAGGUUUUGGUGAGCCAAGAUUGCACCAUUGCACUCCAGCCUGGGCAACAAGAGCAAAACUCCAUCACAAACAAACAAACAAAAAACAAAAAUCAUAGAGUGAUUUCUGGCCAACAGAGCAAGGAAGAAGUGAACCAAUGAAAACUGGUCCAAGUCUGGGAGCCAAUAUGGAAAAGCUGCCUAAUUAAUUUGGAAGCCCCACGGAAAUGAUAUACCAUGAAAACCUAACCCUACAAAAACUAGUUGUCAGACACAUGUGAGCAGUGAACAGAAUUCUAAUGUGCUGGCUUAACAUUCAAAACUGGAGAAUGUUUGUGUAUCUUCUAAAGACUGUUUGGGGCUUAUUUGUGGAGUUCAGCUGAGGGUCAUCAGAACAAAGAUUAGUGCAAAAAAUCUUUCAGAAAUCAUGCCCAAACAUUUGCAUGCACCUUAAAUAAGAAAUGAAAUGGCAAGAAGAGUAUGUCACAAUAAAGUAUAAAUAGCAAGUGAAAUGUCUCAUCAUACUGAGACAGUUUUAUAAAUGAGGCAAAGGCCCUGUCAAAAAAUAAUGAUGAUUUUCAAAAUUCUGAAAUGCAAAGGGGGAAAACUACUUCAUUCAGUUAACAGGAAGCACACAAGAAUCUCCCCAUCAACCAAGAUUUUUUUUUCUAUGACCCACGCUUUGUAAGACAAUAAUAACAAAAACUAUAAACUAGAAUUUGUUGAAAGAACAACUUCUAGAGUUUGCCCUUUAUCUGCUAUUUUACUGUUUUCAUGUCUGUCUCUGGUAUGACUUCCUCAUCUAUUAGUAGCCUCCUAGUAAAUUUGAACAAAUGAAUGAAUG